GGAUGGUUGCAUGUGUAUUGAGGACGAGAUUACAAUAAAGUGAGUCUUGUGAGAGACACUCUUUCUUGGAAGAGACUAAGAUUGGAAAUAUUAAAUUAUUAAUAAACAAAGAGUAUUUUUUGGUCUGUUAAGAAAAUAUAUUUAUACGUUCUUAAGUUCUUCUGUAUAUACAAUAAAAGUCAAACCAAAUAAAACAACACCAAACUAAAGCCGAGCAGCGGUAACGUAUAUAAGUAAAAGUUGUUCAAAGUGAUGAUCUUGACAAUAUAUUAUAUAACCCAACCUAAAUUUAACUCAUUGAUGCUAAUCACCCUUGAUGUAAUGAAAAAAAAAUAUAAUAAUAUAAUAAUGAAAGAUAUAUUAAUGGGUUAUAGAUUAGAUUAGAUAUGUAUCAACUAAAUUAUAUUGAAGCCAAGCGAUGGUAACAUAUAUGAGGAAAACGUUGUUCAGAAUUAUAAUCUUGACAACAUAUUUCAAGGUCAUCGAUAUCAUACGUGCGUUGCCUCUUUAUAAAUAAUUGCGGACGGAAAUAAUAGCAACUUAUGAGAUAAAUUUCAAAGAUAGUGUCCCUAACCUCGCCUUUUUCUGCUUUCAAAUUUAUGUAGCUGAUCAAUGUGGCUCCUGAACGAUUUAUGUUGAUAGUUGCGCACAACAACAAAGUUCCUACGUUUCACGAAUUUUUGUUUUUACGGACAGUUUUAUGGUGUGAGAAAGGAUGGCUCUAUGAUUCAUUAAAAUCACUGACACCGUUUUCGCGGAUCACAAUUCACAAAAAUACCGGAUUUCACCUGGUAAACAACAGCUUUAACUGAUUGGCAGUAUUAGCACGGAGAAAUAAGAGAGGACUUUUUACUUAAGCAUGUAGGUAUAUUGUAGCAAAUAAUUGAUAGCCGGAUGCUUUGUGACGUUCAGAUUAAGAAUACUAGCCUAAAGCUAACACAGAUCAUAAAUUUCAUAUUGACAAAAUUUAUUUAUCUGUUAGCCACCAGCUUCUGCUCUGUCUUGAGUUUCAGUUAGCGUUUUCAAUCCGGCAGCCACAAGGCAGCCAGCCAUCAAUUUCUUGCAGCGAUAAAACUACAUGCAUAGGUAACGAUCAUCUCUUAUUGUUAUAUUUUUCCAUGUUAAUACUGUCUACUAUCGGUCAAUUCCAGCAGGUCUGGUGUUGGUGAAUUCCAGCGUUGGCGAAGUCGGUGAAUUGUGAUUCGCGAAAACAGCAUCGGUGAUUUCAAUGGAACCUGACCUGUGUCACUAUAAUCAAUCAGAUCCACAUUCCUUGUUCCUGUACAAUACGUACGAUUAUAAUCUUGUUCGAGAACAUACCAACCUAAUAAAUCCAGCAAUGGUCAAAACGCAGGUUUCACUGGUCUUUCAGUGGCAGUUCCAGCUCGGCUCCAUCGUUGUCCUGUGACCGAGCAGGUGGCCAACUCGGUGGGGCUGAACAAAAUUGCAGCCAGUCCACGGGUCAAUUUUCUGUAAUCGCUCCAUUUCACAGCCCUUAGUUGUUCCUCGCAAACUGCUAUUCCCUCUCCCAAAUGCACCUGUCGAACACAUGUUUGUCAAAGUUUCAAAGAAAAAGAAAGCCAACAUGUUUAUGCUAAUUUCUAAUCCAGGAAAAUAGGUACAAAAAUAAUACAUAUAGUAUAUAUAUUACAGGUGCAGUGUUUGAGUUCUGCGCGUGAGUCAAAAAUGCAUGUAGGUGUUGCAAAUCGCAGAUGCUGAUCUAAAAAAAAAAAUGAUGCUUUUGUAUUAAAACAAGGAAGAAAUUAAAACAUAUCUUAAGGAAGGAAAGUUUUAAAGGAACGUAAUAGAAUUUUCAGAUACAGAUAAAUAUAGGAACAAUAUUAAUAUUAUUGCAAUGAAAUGACAUGGUGCCCAUUUCUGUGACCUUGAACUCUAUACGAAGGCAGGAAACCGUAUGACAAGCAUUCACUUUCUUCGUAAACAUGUUUUUUUCAAAAUUCAAUGGAAUUUACAUAUUUUUUCAAUGUAAGUAUAUAGUACACUAAUAUGGACACUAUGAAUAGAGUUUCAAGAGAUAAUUACAUUUUUAUAAAUAAUUAAUUUAUAUUAUGUGUCAGGCUCUGUCAGACAAUAAGAAACUAUGAAAUAUAGUAUGCUACCAUUGCAUUAUAUUAAAGUCUUUUCAUACUCUCUUUUUUCUUUUUAGUUUUCUGCCUUCCUGAAGCGCAAUAGAAUUUUUCUCCUGCAACGUUCUUUCGCUGAUUUGCCACCCAGCGAUAUUUUUUAACAGUAACAAAUAUUUCAAAUUCGUAGAGUUGUUACAAUUACGCUGUUCACAAUGUUCUAAUGAAAAUUUCUACCGUGUUAAAACCCCGUUACAUUUAUAUAUAUAAAUAACAGUUAUCGCAUUAAUAGAAAAUUAAUCUGCUAGUGUUAAAUACUAAUUCUUUGAGAAAAGGGAGGAAGGAAUAAUUUUGAGUCAACGUUAUACUCAUUUUGAUCCUUGAAAGAUGUGAAGAUAAAUAGAGCAUUAAUUAGGUCUGUCUUGUUUAAUAGAUUAACAUCUUAAUAGGAUGUGAAGGUUACGCUAUCUCAAAGUGAAAACCGAUAUCCUCAUCCAGAGAACACUGUAUUAAUCCUUUCACUAUGGAAGCUUAUCUGCGAAAUUAUAAUGAAUCUGGCACAAAUGUUCAAUUACUUAAAGCAUACUGAAUUAAUCAGAAUCAGAGUUUUAUAUAAUUGAAUGACCGUUUCACAUUAAUCAGACGAUUACAAACGUUUAUAAUUUUCUUGCAACGACUAAAAAUAAAUUUUGGUGCAGAAAGUGUAAUUCAAAAAUUUCUUAAUUUCGAUAUAAAAAUACGUAAUUAAUUCAUGUUUAAUUUCUCAACCAAAUUUCCACGGAAAUGAUCAAUUUGAUCGUUGAGUGAUUCGGUUGAAAACAGAUUCACUUGCUAGUUAUAUAUUUUCAUAAUAUUAAUUUAUAUUUAAUUUACAGUUUAUUUAGAUGCCAUCAAAGUGUUCUUCGCUCUAUCUAUAAAAAGACGUAGCUACCAUCGCUCGAAAGUAUUCCACAUAAUUUAACUACAAUAUUACACACAGUUAGCAGGGAUUUCGUCUCGAGUACGGUAAAGCUACCUAUAUUAAUAUUAUUUAAUAAGAAGAACAAAGGUAUUGGGUUCAUGAAAUUUUCAAAUGACAGAACAAUCACGCGUUUGAUAUUCCGUCUGCUGUUACAGUUCACGUAAAAAUUAUAUGUUCUUUAUUUAUAAUUUUAUCGUAAAUUAUUCGUUUGGUAAAUUAACAGUAAGAAUUGUACCAUUAUCUGUAUAUACUUGUACAAACGAUUAUUCGUAUUAUUCGAAUAAUUCUGCGCUCGUUAUUCGAAUAAGUGUAUGAAACAAUUGAUUACGGACAACGAAUAAUUACUUCACUGACAAAAUACUCGACUAAUAUGAAUUUAUCCCGAUAGUCUUGGAUAAAUAUUCAUUUGAAACGAUUCGAAUAAUGAACAAUUCGCCCGACUCUGUAACUGUAGAAUUUAUAAUUUAAUGUAAAAUGUAACUGGAGAAUUAAUAAAGUUGUACUAUUAAUAGGAACCUACCAAACUAUCUAGAUAUUUCCGAGCGAUAGUGUACAGAGGUAUUUCCAGUUUAACCGUUUGCUGGCCAACUCCGCCGUAGCGGAAGAGUUAAAGGUAACAGUAAAUAGAAAAAUAAGGAGAAGAUAAACACGUAGUGAGUGAAGAAAUAAAUAUAUACGUAUAAGAACCAUGGUCCAACGAAAACAAGCAAAAACAGUAAAUAAUGUACAGUACAUAAAUACACAGUAAAUAACUGUAAAAGUAGAUAAAUUGCUGUGAACGAUAAGAAGGUAAGAAAAUAUAAAGUCUUCACAGUUAGAUCAAUAAGUGUGCAGACGACUAUGAAAAUGGUGUAAAAUUGAAAGAAGUUGAAUUUUUGUUUUUGCAUGACAAAUUUUUCACUCGAGUCACUUCCGGCAUCACCGACGCAGAUGCGGAAGCAAGAAAAUUGAAUGUUGAAAGAAAAUUAGUAUUUCAAAGUGUUAGAGGAUGCAAAAACACGAACGCGAGACUCAAGCAACUUGCGUCAAUAAAUUAUUACAGCUCUUUAAGACAAGCGGAUAAGAAAAGAACGUAGAGGACAGGUAACUGCCUUUAAUUAAGGAUGAUAAAGAAGAAAAUAAUUUCUGGAAUAAUUUGGAGUGAAACAGCCUCAGGGCGUAUGAUAUUAACAAUUAGCAAGCGCAGAAAAAGAUUCAGUGAAAAUAAACAGAAGCAAAGCGAAGGAGGAAAAUGACACGGUAAUUUGCACGUAUAUUAUGCUAGCUAGAUUAUGCGCCAAUUAAAUAUUCUUCUUGGCGCUGCAUUAAUGUAGGUGAAUUAAUUCCUUUACGUAGCAUAUGUGACGACAACGUUUUCAUAAAAAACUAGUUGAAUUAUUUCAGAAAAGGGAUACUCUUAAGUGAACAAAUUACGUUAAGAAUAUUCGCAAAUCAGAUAACAGGUUGGCUUUUCUAGUUAACAGGUUAAGAAGAAAGACAGUCGUUUAAACGAAAGGAAAUGUCUUUGAAAAUUUUGUGAAAAUAUACAGUGUGUCCAGUUUAUCUCAAAACAUGCGAAUGAUGAAGAUAUGAAAAAAACUUUUCAAACAAAAAUUCCACGAUAUCGAGGAGAAUAUACUAUAUAGUCUUGUGUAUUUGACCUUGUAGUGACCUUGAAACUCUCUGCGAAAGACGUUAAAAUUGUCUAAUGGAUAGCUUUAUCUUUCAGUAGAUUUUCUUGUAACUGGAAUUCAGACGUUUUCGAAACGCUACAGACUCGUGUCUUUUGCACCAGGUUUCAAGGUCGAAUACACCAGAGUAUAGUAAACUCGCCUCGAUGUCCCGCAACUUUCGUCUGGAACAUCUUUUUGCACAAUCUAUAUUUUUC